rnacentral:rRNA from 1 species
UGGGGAAUAUUGCGCAAUGGGCGAAAGCCUGACACAGCAACGCCGCGUGAGGGAUGACGGCCUUCGGGUUGUAAACCUCUUUCAGCAGGGACGAAGCGAAAGUGACUGUACCUGCAGAAGAAGCGCCGGCUAACUACGUGCCAGCAGCCGCGGUAAUACGUAGGGCGCAAGCGUUGUCCGGAUUUAUUGGGCGUAAAGAGUUCGUAGGCGGUCUGUCGCGUCGGACGUGAAAACCCGGAGCUCAACUCC